rnacentral:rRNA from 1 species
CCCUUCAGGCCUAACACAUGCAAGUCGAGCGGCAGCGCGGUAGCAAUACUGGCGGCGAGCGGCGAACGGGUGAGUAAUGCUUCGGAAUCUUCCUAGUAGUGGGGAAUAACCUGGGGAAACUCAGGCUAAUACCGCAUACGAACCAAGGUUGAAAGCGGGGGAUCGCAAGACCUCGCGCUAUUAGAUGAGCCGAAGUCGGAUUAGCUAGUUGGUGGGGUAAAGGCCUACCAAGGCGACGAUCCGUAGCUGGUCUGAGAGGACGACCAGCCACACUGGGACUGAGACACGGCCCAGACUCCUACGGGAGGCAGCAGUGGGGAAUAUUGGACAAUGGGGGCAACCCUGAUCCAGCGACGCCGCGUGUGUGAAGAAGGCCUGCGGGUUGUAAAGCACUUUUAGUGGGGAUGAAAAGCCGAGGGCUAAUACUCUUCGGUCUUGACCUAACCCAAAGAAAAAGCACCGGCUAACUCUGUGCCAGCAGCCGCGGUAAUACAGAGGGUGCAAGCGUUAAUCGGAAUUACUGGGCGUAAAGCGUGCGUAGUCGGUUAUCUAAGUCGGGUGUGAAAUCCCCGGGCUCAACCUGGGAAUUGCAUUCGAUACUGGAUAGCUAGAGUUCGGCAGAGGGAAGCGGAAUUUCUGGUGUAGCGGUGAAAUGCGUAGAUAUCAGAAGGAACAUCAGUGGCGAAAGCGGCUUCCUGGACCAGAACUGACGAUCAGGCACGAAAGCGUGGGGAGCAAACAGGAUUAGAUACCCUGGUAGUCCACGCCAUAAACGAUGACAACUAGACGUUGGGAGGGUAAGCCUCACAGUGUCGCAGCUAACGCGUUAAGUUGUCCGCCUGGGGAGUACGGCCGCAAGGUUGAAACUCAAAGGAACUGACGGGGACCCGCACAAG